rnacentral:rRNA from 1 species
GACGAACGCUGGCGGCGUGCCUAAUACAUGCAAGUUGAGCGCUGAAGGUUGGUACUUGUACCAACUGGAUGAGCAGCGAACGGGUGAGUAACGCGUGGGGAAUCUGCCUUUGAGCGGGGGACAACAUUUGGAAACGAAUGCUGAUACCGCAUAAAAACUUUAAACACAAGUUUUAAGUUUGAAAGAUGCAAUUGCAUCACUCAAAGAUGAUCCCGCGUUGUAUUAGCUAGUUGGUGAGGUAAAGGCUCACCAAGGCGAUGAUACAUAGCCGACCUGAGAGGGUGAGCGCCCACAUUGGGACUGAGACACGGCCCAAACCCCCACGGGAGGCAGCAGUAGGGAAUUUUCGGCAAGGGACGAAAGUCUGACCGGGAAACGCCGGGUGAGGAAAAAAGGUUUUCGGAUCGUAAAACUCUUUUGGUAGAAAAAAACGUGGGUGAGGGUGGAAAGCCCAUCAAGUGACGGUAACUACCCAAAAAGGGACGGCUAACUACGG